rnacentral:lncRNA from 1 species
UAUAUAGAGCUCUCCCUCUCUCCCACCUUUCUGGAGGAGGAUGGAUCCUCCUCCAACAAAGAAGCUUAAGCUUCAGGGGAGCGGCAGCAGGCCUGAACCAAUGGAAAUUGAUCCACCUGCAGACGACGUCGAGCCCAUGGAGGUGGAUCUACCUCUGCAGGAAGAGCCAAUGGAGGUGGAUCCAUCUCCAUCGGGCUCGGGCAAAUCCUAUAACAUCCUGCUUGCCCGGAGACGUUGUCACAUCCGUUGGCGGCACACCAGGGGCUCUCGAUUUCCACCUCGGCGUUGAAGUGUCGCCAUCCGCCAGAGAGCCCCUGCGACGGCUGCUGCUCCCUACCCCUUCCUUCCCCAUUCCCCAUCUUUCCCCAGGACCUCUCCCUUCUUCUUUCCCAAGCUCUGAGGAAAAGGGAAGGACUUGGACUGGUGUCCAUGGGGCUGUGCUGAGACAAGAGGAGUCAUCCAGCAGAAAGCCUCAAGUUCCCUGCAGCCUCCAGGUGAGCACUAAAGAAGAGGGCAGGACUGUGACUGGUGUCCACUGAGCUGCUGUGUGGACAGCCCCGAGCUCCCUGCAGCUCCAGGUGGUGUCAGUGAAGUUACAGAGGCAAGCUGUGCCUUUGGAGGAGCAGAAGACUUUGGUUUGGACGGGAAGAAGGGCUGAAGUUCAGCAUGAAGGUCCAUUCCAGUUGCUCCAUUUUGAUUCUUUUUCAACUCAGGGCAAUAAACAGUUGAAAAGGACAAUACAGUUUGAAAGGACCAUAACGAUAACAAUAAAAAAGUAAAGCCAGU